rnacentral:rRNA from 1 species
AUUGAACGCUGGCGGCAGGCCUAACACAUGCAAGUAGAGCGGAGCGGCGGACGGGUGAGUAAUGCCUAGGAAUCUGCCUGGUAGUGGGGGAUAACGUCCGGAAACGGGCGCUAAUACCGCAUACUAUCAGAUGAGCCUAUGUCGGAUUAGCUAGUUGGUGGGGUAAAGGCAAAACAAGGCGACGCACCGUAACUGGUCUGAGAUGAUGAUCAGGCACAAUGGAACUGAGACAAGGUCCAGACUCCUACGGGAGGCAGCAGUGGGGAAUAUUGGACAAUGGGCGAAAGCCUGAUCCAGCCAUGCCGCGUGUGUGAAGAAGGUCUUCGGAUUGUAAAGCACUUUAAGUUGGGAGGCGUUACCAACAGAAUAAGCACCGGCUAACUGCGUGCCAGCAGCCGCGGUAAUUC